rnacentral:rRNA from 1 species
AUUGAACGCUGGCGGCAUGCCUUACACAUGCAAGUCGAACGGUAACAGGUCUUCGGAUGCUGACGAGUGGCGAACGGGUGAGUAAUACAUCGGAACGUGCCUAGUAGUGGGGGAUAACUACUCGAAAGAGUGGCUAAUACCGCAUGAGAUCUACGGAUGAAAGCCGGGGAUCGCAAGACCUUGUGCUACGAGAGCGGCCGAUGGCAGAUUAGGUAGUUGGUGGGAUAAAAGCUUACCAAGCCGACGAUCUGUAGCUGGUCUGAGAGGACGAUCAGCCACACUGGGACUGAGGCACGGCCCAGACUCCUACGGGAGGCAGCAGUGGGGAAUUUUGGACAAUGGGCGAAAGCCUGAUCCAGCAAUGCCGCGUGCAGGAUGAAGGCCUUCGGGUUGUAAACUGCUUUUGUACGGAACGAAAAGCCCCGGGUUAAUACCCUGGGGUCAUGACGGUACCGUAAGAAUAAGCACCGGCUAACUACGUGCCAGCAGCCGCCGUAA